GGGGGGCAAUGGCGAGUCCGCCUGGCUUUUAAUCAGUUGGUCGCAGGUUCGAAUCCUGCAUGACCCA
rnacentral:tRNA from 1 species